rnacentral:rRNA from 1 species
AUACGGAGGACGCGAGCGUUAUCCGGAUUCAUUGGGUUUAAAGGGUGCGCAGGCGGCCGUGCAAGUCAGCGGUGAAAGCCCGGGGCUCAACCCCGGAAGUGCCGUUGAUACUGCAUGGCUGGAAUGCGGUCGAGGCGGGCGGAACGUGGCGUGUAGCGGGGAAAUGCGUAGAUAUGCCACAGAACGCCGAUGGCGGAGGCAGCUCGCCAGGCCUGCAUUGACGCUCGGGCACGAAAGCGGGGGGAUCGAACAGGAUUAGAUACCCUGGUAGUCCACGCCGUAAACGAUGGGCGCUCGUCGUCGGCGGCAGACAGUCGGCGGCCAAGCGAAAGCGAUAAGCGCCCCACCUGGGGAGUACGGUCGCAAGGCUGAAACUCAAAUGAAUUGACGGGG